rnacentral:rRNA from 1 species
AUUGAACGCUGGCGGCAUGCUUUACACAUGCAAGUCGAACGGUAACAGGUCUUCGGAUGCUGACGAGUGGCGAACGGGUGAGUAAUACAUCGGAACGUGCCUAGUAGUGGGGGAUAACUACUCGAAAGAGUAGCUAAUACCGCAUGAGAUCUACGGAUGAAAGCAGGGGACCUUCGGGCCUUGUGCUACUAGAGCGGCUGAUGGCAGAUUAGGUAGUUGGUGGGGUAAAGGCUUACCAAGCCUGCGAUCUGUAGCUGGUCUGAGAGGACGACCAGCCACACUGGGACUGAGACACGGCCAGACUCCUACGGGAGGCAGCAGUGGGGAAUUUUGGACAAUGGGCGAAAGCCUGAUCCAGCAAUGCCGCGUGCAGGAUGAAGGCCCUCGGGUUGUAAACUGCUUUUGUACGGAACGAAAAGCCUGGGGCUAAUAUCCUCGGGUCAUGACGGUACCGUAAGAAUAAGCACCGGCUAACUACGUGCCAGCCGCCGCGGUAACAC